UGCAGAUGAUGUUUUCUCACGAUGGUCUUCUGAAAUGAUUUUGAAGAUAAUGCCUAAUGGCUUUACUGAUGCCUCCCU